GACGAACGCUGGCGGCGUGCUUAACACAUGCAAGUCGAACGGACAGGCCCUGCUCUUGCGGGGUGCUCGAUUGGCGCACGGGUGAGUAUCACGCGUGUAUCCUGCCCCUGACUUUGGGAUAACUUCAGGAAACUGGGGCUCAUACCGGAUAGGAGCUCCUGCUGCACGGUGGGCGUUGGUAAGUUUCGGCGGUUGGGGAUGGACUCGCGGCUUAUCAGCUUGUUGGUGGGGUAGUGGCUUACCAGGGUUACGACGGGUAGCCGGCCUGAGAGGGUGGCCGGGCACAUUGGGCCUGAGAUACGGCCCAGUCUCCUACGGGAGGCAGCAGGGGGAAAUAUUGCACAAUGGGCGGAAGCCUGAUGCAGCAACGCCCCGUGCGGGAUGACGUCCUACGGGUUAUAAACCGCUGUCGCCGGAGACGAGGCGGGAGUGACGGUAAUGGGUAAAAAAGCACCGGCUAACUACGUG
rnacentral:rRNA from 1 species